rnacentral:rRNA from 1 species
AUGACGUACUUGUACUGAUUGAGAUUUUAACACGAAGUGAGUGGCGAACGGGUGAGUAACACGUGGGUAACCUGCCCAGAAGUAGGGGAUAACACCUGGAAACAGAUGCUAAUACCGUAUAACAGAGAAAACCGCAUGGUUUUCUUUUAAAAGAUGGCUCUGCUAUCACUUCUGGAUGGACCCGCGGCGUAUUAGCUAGUUGGUGAGGUAAAGGCUCACCAAGGCAGUGAUACGUAGCCGACCUGAGAGGGUAAUCGGCCACAUUGGGACUGAGACACGGCCCAGACUCCUACGGGAGGCAGCAGUAGGGAAUCUUCCACAAUGGACGCAAGUCUGAUGGAGCAACGCCGCGUGAGUGAAGAAGGGUUUCGGCUCGUAAAGCUCUGUUGUUAAAGAAGAACGUGGGUAAGAGUAACUGUUUACCCAGUGACGGUAUUUAACCAGAAAGCCACGGCUAACUACGUGCCAGCAGCCGCGGUAAUACGUAGGUGGCAAGCGUUAUCCGGAUUUAUUGGGCGUAAAGCGAGCG